GACGUAGGGGGCAAGCGUUGUCCGGAUUUAUUGGGCGUAAAGAGCGUGUAGGUGGCCAUGUAGGUCCGUUGUGAAAACUCGAGGCUCAACCUCGAGACGCCGAUGGAAACCAUGUGGCUAGAGUCCGGAAGAGGAGAGUGGAAUUCCUGGUGUAGCGGUGAAAUGCGCAGAUAUCAGGAAGAACACCCCUGGCUAAGGCGGCUCUCUGGGACGGUACUGACGCUGAGACGCGAAAGCGUGGGGAGCAAACAGG
rnacentral:rRNA from 1 species